rnacentral:rRNA from 1 species
AUACAUGCAAGUAGAACGCUGAAGGAGGAGCUUGCUCUUCUGGAAGAGUUGCGAACGGGUGAGUAACGCGUAGGUAACCUGCCUGGUAGCGGGGGAUAACUAUUGGAAACGAUAGCUAAUACCGCAUAAGAUUGAAUAUCGCAUGAUAAUUGAUUAAAAGAUGCAAAUGCAUCACUACCAGAUGGACCUGCGUUGUAUUAGCUAGUAGGUGAGGUAACGGCUCACCUAGGCGACGAUACAUAGCCGACCUGAGAGGGUGAUCGGCCACACUGGGACUGAGACACGGCCCAGACUCCUACGGGAGGCAGCAGUAGGGAAUCUUCGGCAAUGGGGGCAACCCUGACCGAGCAACGCCGCGUGAGUGAAGAAGGUUUUCGGAUCGUAAAGCUCUGUUGUAAGAGAAGAACGAGUGUGAGAGUGGAAAGUUCACACUGUGACGGUAUCUUACCAGAAAGGGACGGCUAACUACGUGCCAGCAGCCGCGGUAAUACGUAGGUCCCGAGCGUUGUCCGGAUUUAUUGGGCGUAAAGCGAGCGCAGGCGGUUAGAUAAGUCUGAAGUUAAAGGCUGUGGCCUAACCAUAGUACGCUUUGGAAACUGUUUAACUUGAGUGCAGAAGGGGAGAGUGGAAUUCCAUGUGUAGCGGUGAAAUGCGUAGAUAUAUGGAGGAACACCGGUGGCGAAAGCGGCUCUCUGGUCUGUAACUGACGCUGAGGCUCGAAAGCGUGGGGAGCGAACAGGAUUAGAUACCCUGGUAGUCCACGCCGUAAACGAUGAGUGCUAGGUGUUAGGCCCUUUCCGGGGCUUAGUGCCGUAGCUAACGCAUUAAGCACU